GUGGGGAAUAUUGCACAAUGGGGGAAACCCUGAUGCAGCGACGCCGCGUGAGUGAAGAAGUAUUUCGGUAUGUAAAGCUCUAUCAGCAGGAAAGAAAAUGACGGUACCUGACUAAGAAGCCCCGGCUAACUACGUGCCAGCAGCCGCGGUAAUACGUAGGGGGCAAGCGUUAUCCGGAUUUACUGGGUGUAAAGGGAGCGUAGACGGGCGUGCAAGUCUGAAGUGAAAGCCCGGGGCUCAACCCCGGAACUGCUUUGGAAACUGUAUGUCUAGAGUGCAGGAGAGGUAAGUGGAAUUCCUAGUGUAGCGGUGAAAUGCGUAGAUAUUAGGAGGAACACCAGUGGCGAAGGCGGCUUACUGGACUGUAACUGACGUUGAGGCUCGAAGGCGUGGGGAGCAAACAGG
rnacentral:rRNA from 1 species